rnacentral:rRNA from 1 species
AGCUCCAAUAGCGUAUAUUAAAGUUGUUGCAGUUAAAAAGCUCGUAGUUGGAUUGGUGUUGGUUAUGUUUUUUUGGGAAAUUCUCAAAGCGACGUUAACCAAUAUAUUUGGGAUUUGGUCUGAAAUGGCAUUAAGUUGUCGAUUUAGCUCCAGCCCAUCGUUUACUGUGAAAAAAUUAGAGUGUUUAAAGCAGGUUUUAUAACCGUUGAAUACAUUAGCAUGGAAUAAUAAUAUAUGACUCGUAUGGUCUAUUUUGUUGGUUUGCACGUAUGAGUAAUGAUUAAUAGGGACAGUUGGGGGUAUUCAUAUUUGAGCGUCAGAGGUGAAAUUCUUGGAUCGCUGAAAGAUGAACUAAGGCGAAAGCAUUUACCAAGGAUGUUUUCA